rnacentral:lncRNA from 1 species
CUGGCAGAGGCCUUGGGGAGCUCAAAAGGAUGGCACUGGGGGUGCAUGACUGUUCAUGAAGCCAAAGAGAAAUAAAAAGAGGCAGCAGAAGGAACUUUCUUCAUGUGAGAUAGUUCAAGUUCAGACUUCCUGCUAACAACAUCUAUUAGGACAUGGGCUGGACCAACUCAUCUUCCUAUGGAAUACCAAGACAGGAGAUCCAGACAAACUCCAUCAUGUGCACCAAGCCCAAGCUCAAACAAUCAGCUGGUGCAGCAUGUCUGCUGAAUGACUGUGCUGUGAUGGGCUAGGACCAGCAGGCGGCCCAGGGGCCCUAGACUGCUCUGUUCACCUCCAUCCAACCACAUCGCUCUGCACACCAGGCACCAUCUCUGUAGGCUCACCACUAACAAAGGGACCGGUACCAUCUGAGGACUGCCUUUACCAACAAGACUAAAAGAUUUCUUGGAAGAAUAUCAAUUCCAG